AUUGAACGCUGGCGGCAGGCCUAACACAUGCAAGUCGAGCGGCAGCGGGAAAGUAGCUUGCUACUUUUGCCGGCGAGCGGCGGACGGGUGAGUAAUGCCUGGGAAAUUGCCCAGUCGAGGGGGAUAACAGUUGGAAACGACUGCUAAUACCGCAUACGCCCUACGGGGGAAAGCAGGGGACCUUCGGGCCUUGCGCGAUUGGAUAUGCCCAGGUGGGAUUAGCUAGUUGGUGAGGUAAUGGCUCACCAAGGCGACGAUCCCUAGCUGGUCUGAGAGGAUGAUCAGCCAAACUGGAACUGAGACACGGUCCAGAAUCCUAAGGGAGUCAGCAGUGGGGAAUAUUGCACAAUGGGGGAAACCCUGAUGCAGCCAUGCCGCGUGUGUGAAGAAGGCCUUCGGGUUGUAAAGCACUUUCAGCGAGGAGGAAAGGUUGAUGCCUAAUACGUAUCAACUGUGACGUUACUCGCAGAAGAAGCACCGGCUAACUCCGUGCCAGCCGCCGCAGUAACAC
rnacentral:rRNA from 1 species